rnacentral:pre_miRNA from 1 species
CAAGUACUCCCUCCGUUCGAAAUUACUUGUCUUGAAAAUGGAUGUAUCUAGAACUAAAAUACAUCUAGAUACAUUCAUUUUUACGACAAGUAAUUCCGAACGGAGGGAGUACAAU